rnacentral:ncRNA from 1 species
CUCUUCAGGGCGGGGUGCAAUUCCCCACCGGCGGUAUAGCCCGCGAGCGGCUGCGUUGCAGUCUGCAUGAUUCGGUGAGAUUCCGAGGCCGACAGUAUAGUCUGGAUGGAAGAAGGUG